UACAGAGGUCUCAAGCGUUGUUCGGAUUCAUUGGGCGUAAAGGGCGCGUAGGCUGCGGGGUAAGUCGGGUGUGAAAUCUCAGAGCUCAACUCUGAAACUGCACUCGAUACUGCUUUGCUUGAGGACUGGAGAGGAGAUUGGAAUUCACGGUGUAGCAGUGAAAUGCGUAGAUAUCGUGAGGAAGACCAGUGGCGAAGGCGGAUCUCUGGACAGUUCCUGACGCGGAGGCACGAAGGCCAGGGGAGCAAACGGG
rnacentral:rRNA from 1 species